rnacentral:rRNA from 1 species
UACGUAGGGACCGAGCGUUGUCCGGAUUCAUUGGGCGUAAAGAGCUCGUAGGCGGCUUGUCACGUCGGAUGUGAAAGCCCGAGGCUUAACCUCGGGUCUGCAUUCGAUACGGGCUAGCUAGAGUGUGGUAGGGGAGAUCGGAAUUCCUGGUGUAGCGGUGAAAUGCGCAGAUAUCAGGAGGAACACCGGUGGCGAAGGCGGAUCUCUGGGCCAUUACUGACGCUGAGGAGCGAAAGCGUGGGGAGCGAACAGG